UCUGUGGCUUAAUUGCAGUAGUUUUUGUACUUCUGAUUCGAAGCCGCUGCUGUAAUAAUAAUUUAAUCAAAGCGAAUACUUUCAUUGUGCAGAGAUUUAAGAGCCAUUCUUAUUCAACAUGAAAAUAUUACUGUAAUAAUAAUUUAGUCUUUUAGGAUAUAUGCUAGCUAGUGUCGGAUAAAAUUAUAUACGCUGAGCCCCUCCAUCAAAGCUCUAAAUAGAUUCAUAUUUUAUAAUUAUGUGCCUAGACCCGAACCAAUCCGGAUCCGAACCGACUUAAACCCGUACUUCAUAGAUCGGGAUUAUAUUAUACAGGAAUCCGAUCAGAUCCAAAUGAUCUAUUGGGUUAAAAAAUUUGAUCAUUAAUCCAAUAUGAUCCGAUCAGAUCUUCUAUUGAAUUGGAUUUGGAUCAAAAAUUCAGAUUUGAUUAAGAAAUCGAUCAGAUCGAGAUCACUCAUGAUCCGAUCCAAUCUGACCUAUUUGCACUCCUAUCUCCAACUUUUCCAUCUUCAACUCUAACAUAUUCAGCAAGCUACUUGAGUCAAGAUUUUGCCAUCAACCUAUGAAUCGAAUGGUAAAAAUUUGUCAACCCUUUUUUUUUAGCAAGAAUGUUUGAUUUUUAAUAUUUCACCUUUCUUUCCACUAAAAAUAAACAUAUUUUUGUUUAAGAAUGAUUUAUCAGCAUAAAGCUCUCUCAAGCUGAUUAAUCCAUCAGCACCAUUGCAAUCACUAUGGGAAGCCAAUUUGUUCACUGCUGUCGAUCAUCCAAUAAGUUGGAGUUUUAACUCCUCAAAGAAACCCUUGCACUCUCUCGCAUUACCAGAUUGUCCCUCUUCAAUAAAUACUUG
rnacentral:lncRNA from 1 species